rnacentral:lncRNA from 1 species
GGGAACCUUUCAAGGUAUAACAUAUGCUACAUGAAACUGUUUUCAUGAUAUGGAAAAGUUUUUUAAUAUGUACUCUAUUGAUUUACAUAAGAAUUAGCGUUUAUUUUUCGAAAUUUUGAAUUCAAAAUAAACAUGAUAAUCUUAUCACGUAAGAGUUGUAUUUGCAUACAUAUAUGCAGCCUACCUAAAUUAUCUAAUCUGAUAAGAAUUUUCAGUUGUAACCUUGCUUAUUUAAAGAACUCAAUCAUCAAUGAACAUCGAUCGAAUUCUCCUUCAAUUAUAUUCUUACUUCUACAACAUACGAAAACAGAGGCAAUUGCAUGCUUUUACUCUGUUUUCGUGCCUUCUCUUACUAAAUUUUCUCUCUAAAUUCUCAAAUACAAUCUGCUUCAAAAACAGUAGAUAAGCUGCUAAAAUCAACAGUGGUAUCAAAGCAUUUUUCUUAAGGGACUGUGAGACAAUCAAGAUGUCUUCUUGUUCUGGCACUUCAGCUCCACCGCACUUCAAUGGAGAUUCACCUGAAAUCUCUGAGUUUGUGGGAGGUAGUCCUUGAUGACAAUGACCCACCUCCUCUAAGAGACACAUCGUCUCUUACUCAAAUUAAAAGGCACGAGGAUGAAGUAGCAAAGAAACCUCACGCCUUGGCCUGCAUUUAUGGCAGUCUCAGAAUGUCUUUAGUAGGAUCUUGCCCUACAAAACACCUAAAUCAGCUUGGGAUAAGCUCAAAGAAGAGUUCGAUGGAGGUCACAGAAGCAAAAAAAUAAAGCUUAUAAAAUUGAAGGCUGAGUUUAUUGCCUUGCGAAUAAAUAUGAAGACACUAUAAGGCAAUAUGCCUCUCGGCUUUCUGAUAUUGUUAGCAAAAUCAGGCUACUCAGUGAAAACUUUCCAGAAUCUUGAGUAGUAGAACAUAUUUUGGUGAGCUUGCCUGCCAAAUUUGAAUAAAAAAUUUCAGUGUUAGAGGAGUUGGGUGACACUGAUACAAUCAUUGCUGCUGAACUGAUAAACAAACUUGAGACUUAAGAACAAAGAGCCAGUAUGAGGGAGACCAUAAAUCCAGAAGGAGCACUGUUUAUUUCCUAGACUAGAAACAAGUCUGGAACUAAAAAUCAGGGGAUAAAAAUUGAGGAUAAAGGCUCAAAUUCACGACAAGGCAACCAGAGUCAAGGUAAGUGAAACAGAUACCCUCCAUGCAAAAUAUUUUCUUUAACUAAUCACCUUGAGAAAGAUUGCUGGUAUAAAGGGAAAAGAACUAUCAAAUGCAAUUUUUGCAAGAGACUCGGUCACAAAGAGAAGGAUUGCAGAAUAAAAAAGAAGCAGGAGGAAUCAAAACACGAACCACAACAGGCAAACAUGAUCAAAAAUGAAGAAGAUACUCCAAAUACACUCCUUGUAGCUUCAAGUGAAGCUGUUAAUGAAAACAAAGCACUAUGGUAGUCGACAGUGGCUGCACAGCUCAUAUGUGCAAAGAAGAGGAGCUAUUUCACAAUCUGAACAAAAAUAUGAAGGAGUAUAUUCAACUUGGUGAUGGGAAAGCUGUUAGAGCUGAAGGUAAGGGAAGUGUUCUGGUAAGCACAAAGCAAGGUAACAAGUUGAUACAUGAUGUAUUAUUUGUUCUUAACCUACGCCAAAACUUACUGAAUGUAUGCCAAAUUGCAAGUUAUGGUUACACCAUUACCUUUAAGCAUACUUUCUAUGAAAUCUUUAAUGAAAAAGAUGAACUCAUAGCCGAGGUUCCCUUGAGAAACAAAAUGUAUGCUCUAAAUCUGGCAGAACCAAAGAACAAAACGAAUUUGGCAAUCAAAAUGAAGGAAUAAGGCACAGGAGGUAUGGACACUAUCACAAGGGAGGUCUUGAAAAAUUGUAGGCUCAUCAGAUGAGUCUCGACCUGCCUCCUUUCAAGAUGACAGAAGGUGUAUGCGAUGUUUGCCUAAUAGCCAAAAUGGCUAGAAUGCCCUUCCCAUCUCAAACACAGUGGAGAGUAAAAGAAAAGCUUGAGCUUGUACACUCAGACAUCUGUGGCCCGAUGAGUGAGGAAUCAUUAAGUGGUUAUAAGUAUUUCACUCUGUUCAUUGAUAAUCUCACCAGAAUGUGUUGGGUUUAUUUCUUGCGCAGCAAAGGUGAAGUCUUCAACCAAUUUGUGGAGUUUAAGGCUUGGGUAGAGAAGGAAAGUGAAAGAAGUGUGAAAUGUUUAACUGACAAUGCCUUGGAGUACACUUCGGCUGAGUUCACUAAUUUUUGCAUAAAAAAUGGUGUCAAGAGGCAGCUGAGUGUUCCUUAUUCGCCUCAGCAAAAUGGCGUUGCAGAAAGGAGAAAUUGCUCAGUUGUUGAAAUGGGAAGAAGCCUACUUGUAGACAAACACCUGCAGAGGAAGUUUUGGGCUGAAGCAAUAAACACCUCGGUGUAUUUGCUAAACUGUUUGCCCACUCAAGCUCCUAAGAAACAAACUCCAUAUGAAGCCUGGAGUGGUAGAAAACCAUCUACUUAACACCUGAAAAUUUUUGGAUCAGUGUGCUACUCACACAUUCCAGAUGAGAGAAGAAAGAAGCUGGAUAAUAAAGCUGAGUUGGGAGUGUUUUAGGAUAUGGCUCAUAAUCAAAAGGCUAUAAAAUUCUCAACUUAAACAUUAACAGGUUAAUAAUUCGCAGGGAUGUUGUGGUAGAUGAAUCUACCUACUGGAACUGGGAAGAAAGAAGAAUUGAAGCAGAUAGUGAAUUCAAAGGUACUGGCAAUGAGAUCCAAAAUCCAGCACUCCCAAACGCUCAUUGGGAAACUGAAGAAGAAGAUGAAGUGAAUUAGGAUGAAGAAAGCAGUUCACAAACUAGAUUCCGAGCCUUAACAGAUAUAUAUGAAAGAUGCAAUUUUGCUGCAUCUGAACCUACCUCUUUUGCAGAUGCAGUGCAACAUAAGAGUUGGAGAGAUGCCAUAAAGGAGGAGAUCAGCAUGAUCGAGAAGAACAAAACUUGGUUGCUGAUUCCUAAACCAGAAGAAAAAAAACCAAUUAGCGUUAAAUGGGUUUUCAGAAUUAAAUUGAAUCCAGAUGGAUCAAUGAAUAAAUACAAAGGAUUUGCUCAACUUGAAGUUGUGGACUUCGGUGAAACGUUUGCUCCAGUUGCGAGGCAUGAAACCAUACGCCUGCUUCUGGCAAUUGCUGCUCAGUUCAAGUGGAAAGUGAUGCAUCUGGACGUAAAAUCAACUUUCCUAAAUGGUGACCUAGAAGAAGAGAUUCUUGUUCAGCAACCAGAAGGCUUCAGCGUACCUGGAAGAUUAUGUCUAUUUGCUAAAAAAGGCCCUGUAUGGCCUCAAACAGGCUCCUCGAGCCUGGUAUAAAAAACUCGAUGCCUAUCUAACUUACUGUGGCUUCAAAAAGAGCCAGAAUGAAGCUAUUUUAUACGUAAGACAUGAAGCAGAAGGUGAGAAACUAAUUGUUGCAAUUUACGUUGAUGAUAUUUUGGUUACUGGCAGCAAUAAAUUGAACAUAGAGAAGUUCAAAUCUCAACUGGAAAAGGAAUUUGAGAUGUCUGCUUUAGGGGAAGCUUGCUACUUUCUGGGAAUGGAAAUAAAACAAACCAUGUUGGCAUUUUUCUCUCGCAAGCCCACGAUGCAAAAGAAAUUUUGCAGAAAUUUUGCUUAAACAUGUGUAAAGCUGUGUCCGUUCCAAUGAUUCAAAACUCAAAGUUAUCAAAAGCAGAAGAUGAGGAAGUGGUAGAUGAAAAUGUGUACAGAAGCAUUAUCGGAAACCUGUUGUACCUCACGACAACCAGACUAGACUUGAUGUACUCUGUAAGUCUGUUGUCAAGGUUCAUGUCUUCUCCCAGAAAAUCUCAUCUAGCUGCUGUAAAGCACAUUUUGAAGUACAUCAAAGGAACUGAAAAUUUUGGCAUCUGGUAUAAAUCAACAGAAGGUGGUACUCUACAAGGGUACAUGGACAGUGAUUGGGUCGGCAGUGUUGAAGAUGCAAGAAGCACCUCUGGGUAUGUUUUCUCACUUGGAUCAGACGCAUUCUCAUGGGCAUCGAAGAAGCAAAAAGUGGUUGCUCAAUCUACUGUGGAAGCUGAAUACAUAGCUGCAGCUGCCACAGCUAAUUAAGCAAUAUGGAUAAGGAAAAUUUUGAAGGAUUUGAGUUGAAAAACAAUUUGCCCACUGAGAUUUUCGUCGACAACAAGUCUGCCAUCGCAAUGGCCAAAAACCCAGUUAUGCAUGGCAGAACUAAACACAUUAACGUGAAGGACCAUGCAAUCCGGGAUGCUGAGAAAAAUCAUGAAAUAAAGUUUGUGCACUGCUCCUCAAAAAACCAGUUAGCUGGUGUCUUAACCAAGGCUGUUGGAAAAGGCAAGUUUGAAGACCUGAGAUCACGGCUGGGAGUUGAAGCAAAUUCUUAAGGAGGAGUGUUGAUUUAGAUAAGAAUUAGUUUUUAUAUUUCGAAAUUUUGAAUUUAAAAUAAAUGUGAUAAUCUUAUCACGUAAGAGUUGUAUUUGCAUGCAUAUAUGCAGCCUACCUAAAUUAUUUAAUCUGAUAAGAAGUUUCAAUUGUAACCUUGCUUAUUUAAAGCACUCAAUCAUCAAUGAACAUCGAUCGAAUUCUCCUUCAAUUAUCUUCUUACUUCUGCAACAUACGAAAACAGAGGCAGUUGCAUGCUUUUACUCUGUUUUUAUGCCUCUCUCACUAAAUUUUCUCUCUCUAAAUUCUCAAAUAUAAUUUACUUCAAAAACAGCAGAUAAGCUGCUAAAAUCAACAUACUCCAUUUAUGAACAGAUUACUUACACCAGUGACUAUUUCCAAGAUCUGUAUGAUUUGGCAGUGGAAUUAAUACGAAGAGGCUAUGCUGAUGUUGACCAUCAGGUUUUAAUGCAAAUCUUGAUAAUCUAGCUAUCUAUAUUAUUACUUUUGUCUUCGCUUUUCUUUUUCCACUUUUGCCAUUUAGAACUUUUAUCAAGGGAAAGGAAUGAGUUGAUUGGAAGGGAAAGCACUAACUAACUGCAGGCUGCAUACUUCAGAAAUUUUCUCUUCCUCUAUUGUGUUAUUCACUGAAGUCUAUUGAGUGUAUGGACAAGUAGCUCCGCUGAUUUUGAAGGUAGUUGAACUGGCUUUAAUUUGUGAUAGGCUACUCAAGAAGAGGAGUCCCUCCAAGCGGCUUCGUCUACAUCUGUAAUCUACCCCUAUGGCUUCAACCAUCUCCUAGGUUACGACAUCUUUCUUUUGGCCAUAUUAUUUGUCAGAACUAUGGCUUGGGAAUUUUGUUUAUACAUGAUAUUUGCGAGAGAAUAUAUAUAUAUAUACUAAAUCAAAUGAGAAGAGGCGCUAAACAUAUAUAUAUAUCACUACAUUCUAGAAAUGUAGAAAUCAUAGAUGAAAGCAACAAAAUAAAGAAUGAAAGUUGUGAGGUAAACAUACCAUUGUUGAAAACCAAAAGGACACAAGAAAAUGAAUAGAUAACUAAACAAAAGCUGCAAAUUUAAACGCUAUCCAGAACUAAAAAAUAUUAGGCGAAUGGACUCCCAUUGGCUGUUCUCGAUCUGAAUCACAGAGAAGGGCAGUGGGUUGUUUGAGUGAGAGAGGGAUAAAAAUGCAUUUCACAAGCCCUAUAUGCAUUUCAAUAUUCAAUCUUCACAAACCCUAUAUGCAUUUCAAUAUUCAAUCUUCACAAACCCUAUAUGCAUUUCAACCUUCAAAUCUUCAAAACCAACCUAUAUGCAUUUCAAAAACACAAACAUAAAAACAAGAAUAUCCAAAGCAAGAAGCAAUUUAAUCAUUACUUACCUUGAUUGAAAGAAGGAGAGGUGAAGCAAGACAGCAGAAUCGAAGUAGUAGAAGUAGAAGAUGGAAGCAGAAGAAGAAGAUGCAAGCUGAUGUGAAGAAGAAGCAGGUCGGGCUGGGAAGAAAACCAAAAUUAGGGUUCAAGGAUAAAACUAUAAUUAAUAAAAUAUUGUAAGGGUAAAAAUGGAAUAAAAAUGUUUAACCAUAAAAAACCACCAAUUUGGUGGUUUGGAAAUCUGAAAAAAUGAGCAAAAAUUUACCCUAAAAUACCACUUAAUGACCAUACUAUCUGUUUGAGAGUAGAUCCAAACAAAAUAAAACUAUGUAAUUACCAUACCAUACAUUAAUUACCCAUCAUCCAAACACAUUGUAUGUCUCCCUUUCCGGUGCACUUUUAAAGGUCUUUAUCCAAUUCUUUUGUCAACACCAAUCUCUUGUGAAACAUUUCUUUAAUCAACUCCAAAGUUAUCUCUUAUGGAACUAACAAGCUCAAUAUGUAUUUAGUGAGAAACGAAAGAGAUAAGAGAGAGAGAGGAGAUUAAUUAAGAACUAAAAUUCAUUUCUAAACAUCGUCAUUGGCAUCGUUGGGGAUUGUUGGGCCAUUGAUGUAGGAUGAGUUUGAAGACACCAUACCAAUGGCGACUAUUGAAGGUUGCUCAGUGGCCAGGACCAAAAGAGGGUGCAAGGCCAUUAACAUUUUCGGUAGUGAAGUUUGGGAAAAGGAGGGAGGAGAGAGGGACCACUAAUUUUUUUUUAAUUUUUUACACAUUAGAUGCCACAUAAUUAGAUACAUAGAUAUUACAUUGACGAUGAUCCAAAUAAAAUGUGACGUGUAAUAAAAUGUAACAUGUGUUUAACUUGAGUUCAUGUGGUACUUCCACUAACCCAUUAAUAAGUAGAAAUUGUGAUAAAAUUUUUUAAAAGUAUAAGGAUCAAAAUAGCAAAAAAAUUACAGAUGGAUUAAUUUAAAUAUUUUAAAACAAUAGAAUGGUUAAAUUAAUAUUUUGGUCCAGGACCAUAUAUAAAUAGGCAAGGAUUAUGGUUGAUGUCAAGGUAUUUCAAUACAAAUUUAUGGGGUUUUUAUGUAUCGAUAAUCAUGAUAUAAGGUGGUCCAUAAUGAUGUCUACUGAAUUUAUAAUUGGACAAAGUGUCCACACAAAAGUAAAUAGUCAUACAACAAGUAAGAUUUAUGCACCAAUUUAGCAAAAAAAGCUUGGUAUUCGAUUUAGCCUAUGAUAAAGAUGCAACGGGAAUAGACAGGACUAAGGAAACAUAUUUCUACUCCACUCUUCCACCUGCAAUAGAUGAAGAAGAAGACAAAGACAACCCAUUCUACCCAUUCAUUUGUCUCAAUGCUAAUGAAAUGAUAAACCUAUAGAAACCAAGGAGUCAAACUCUUGUGAUCAAACUACAUAGAAAGAAGAUCAAUUACGGAUACUUGGAGCAAACACUAAGAAAUAUAUGCAUUUUAUCUAGAGUUUUACAACUGAUUGAUUUUGUAAACGACUUCUUUUUUUCCAAUAUUUUAAAAGAAGAAGAUUAUGAAUAUGCACUUACGAAAGGUCUAUGGAUUAUAAGCUAACAAUACUUAGUAAUGAGGUCACUAUAAAGUCUGUAAUAUUGAGAGUUAACAAUUCUAAAGAUGAGAUGUACAAAAAAGAAAAGUGUCUAUUAAAGAAACUUUACUAUAUGCUAUUAGGCUCUUAAAGUUGAUCAAAGGCUUAGCGUAAAUUAAUUAUAAGAUUGGAUGUUUCCUUUUUUUUAAGAAAAAAAAAGAAAAUUACCAACUUCUAACCAUGAUAGUGAAAGACAGGAAUAACAAAAUAUUUCCAAUUAUAUGUCUAACACCCCGCCCAUCAUUGUAUUUAAUUAAUUUGGAAAACUUUAUUCAUUUAGGCCUUUGGCCAUGUUAAACUUAAUUAAUUUAUGUUGCUUAAUAUUUAUCAUAUUUUAUAAUUUUGGUUGAUUUUUUAUUUAUUUGAUUUUUAUUUAUUUUAAUUUUAAUUUUAAGUUUAACUCAUUUAAAUUAAAUAUAAAAAUUGAGAAACAAAAAACAAAGAAUCGAGAAGAAAAUCCCAUGAAAAAAUUCCUGCAGGGAGUUAAGUUGUUCGCGUAAGUGUUGGGCAUUGUGCGUGCGCACAGCAUGCACGUCCCCUCUGUGCGCACACACACAUAAGAGUAGCCCUAAUGCGCCUAGGGCCUGCGCAUAGUAGGCUUGCAUGCGGUGCCCCGCACGCUUGGCACAGCAUGCGUGCAGCGCACUAAUCGGGGCACUGCUACCUCAAGCAAUGCGCCGCCACUCCCUGGGGCUGUGNNNNNNNNNNNNNNNNNNNNNNNNNNNNNNNNNNNNNNNNNNNNNNNNNNNNNNNNNNNNNNNNNNNNNNNNNNNNNNNNNNNNNNNNNNNNNNNNNNNNNNNNNNNNNNNNNNNNNNNNNNNNNNNNNNNNNNNNNNNNNNNNNNNNNNNNNNNNNNNNNNNNNNNNNNNNNNNNNNNNNNNNNNNNNNNNNNNNNNNNNNNNNUAUAUAAUCGUGUAACAGUAAAAAGUACACAAAAAAAGAAAAGGAGAAAAGUGGAAUGAAGCCUGUAUGGUACGAAGUGUAUCUGUAUUGACAUACAUAUUGCAUCAAGUGUCUCAUUAGACUUUUUAUAUAUGAGGGGUAUUUGUUCCCCUUGCCCUUCGGGAUAUCUAUUUCCCCUCCCCUAUAUGGUCUAGUAAGACAUAAGAGAACUACUCCCACUAGAUGACGAUGUAUCCUCUGACGAGAGUGGUAUUGUACUCUCUGUAGGAGUCACCUGUGGCUAAGUAAUAUCGUGACUGUAGAUAUCUGUUAGGGCCACUAUGGCUGGUACGACUGUGGUCAUAGCUCGUACCAUGGUUUGGCCAGCUGAAAAUGGGUAUGAGCAAAUUGUCAUAUCUGUAUCUGAUUUGGUCAUUCCACUUAGGUAGUUAGAAAUCUGUAUCUGCUAUCAAAGAUGGAAGUUAUAACGACUUCACGAAGCAUGACAAGAAAAUAUGAGCAUUUCAUGAUUUAUUUAAUUUUUUCUAUUAUCUAGCAUAAUGUAUGUUUGGUUGUCUAUAUUAAUGUAUCGUUUUCUUAAUAAAUAAAUAGUUUUCUAUAAUGUGAGAUAGGUAAACGAAGAGGUUAAAUUGUAAGUUACAAUAAUUAACUUUUGAAAUCUUAUGAUGUUAAUUGAAUAUUAUUUUCUUUACUAAGCAUAUAGAACUCACUCUUUCUAUACUCACCCCAGAUGAGAAAGAAAGUGAGGAACCGCAAACUGACCUACCCUUGGAAGUCUAUGAGAAUUCGUGGAUUCACAAGUCUGGGUGCAUGACUGUUCCUGCACUCUGAUUAGUCCAAUAGCAUACAGAAAGAAGUGAUCCUUAUGUUUUGUUUUGUAUUUUGUAGCCACUGUUGCCCUCAGUAUAUGUAUAUAUUAG